rnacentral:lncRNA from 10 species
GGGGGUUGCUAUUGCUGGUUGUUUAGCUCCUCUGCUCAUCUUGAGCUUUUCCAUAUACGUGUUCAUGGUGGGACUGAAAAUUCCUCUAGAAAAUACUUCAACUAUUGUGGGUAAGAGGUUUUCUGGUCCGGUUUUUAAAAAUACAUAAACUGAGAAGUUACUUUAUCUAUUUAAAUAAUACUUCAAAGUGAGUUUUAUUCAGUGUUUAAUAAGACUUUGAAAUUCACUCAUUUCUCAAGCCUGUAAUCCCAACACUUUGGGAGGCCGAGAUGGGCGGAUAACGAGGUCAGGAGAUCGAGACCAUCCUGGCUAACACGGUGAAACCCCGUCUCUACUAAAAAAAUACAAAAAAUUAGCUGGGCGCGGUGGCAGGCGCCUGUAGUCCCGGCUACUCGGGAGGCUGAGGCAGGAGAACCGCGUAAACCCGGGAGGCGGAGCUUGCAGUGAGCUGAGAUCCGGCCAUUGCACUCCAGCCUGGGCGACAGAGCGAGACUCCGUCUCAAAAAAAAAAAAAAAAAAAAGAAAUUCACUCAUUUUUAGGGGUUCUAAGUGAAAAUUAUUUUUCUCCUGUCAGUUGCAUGCUGCCAUUAGUCACCAGAUUGACCCAGAAUUGUUUGAUUUAGGUCUGGGCAGCGACCUCCUGAACAGCCUGAAGCAGACGGUGGUGACCCUGGCCAGCAAUGCGGGCGUGCUGAGCACCGUGCAGUCGGCCGCCCAGGCCGUGCUGCAGAGCGGCUUGUCCGUGCUGCUGCCCAGCGCCGAGGAGCGGGCCGGGCACUCUCUGCUCCCCUGCCCUGCGCAGGUGGGCUUGGGGAAGGAACAGGAGAGGGCAUGGGUCAGGGUGCUGGGAGAGGAUGGCGUUUCACUCAAAUUGGCACACACUUUCUCUUUCAGUUUCAGGCAAUGACGUGAACAUAAGUCGAGGUUGUCAAUUCAUGAGUGAUCUUCUGGUGGGCAGCUUGAUGACUGCUGGAGGGUUGGAGUCAGCCUUACACGCAGCCAUUACUGCAGAGAUCCAGGAUAUUGAAGCCCAAAAAGAAGCACAGAAGGAAAAAGAAGUUGAUGAACAGGAAGCGAAUGCCUCAACAUUUCAUACAAGCAGGACGCCAUUGGAUAAAGACCUUGUUAAUACGGGAAUCUGUGAGUCUUCUGGCAAACGGUGUUUACCUCUGGUUCAGCUCGUACAACAGCUUCUUAGUCCAUGUGAAAUACUGGUGAGCAUUGUUCUGGAAGGCUGGACUAGGAGGAGGUGGGAAGAAGUCAGACUCAGCCUGUGGACAGAGGCUAACCUUGGCAGAAGCCAAAACGGUCAGGCAGUGUUGUGUAAACAUGAUCGCUCAAGAGGAGCGGAAGAGCAAGGUGAUUUGUGAGAGAGAUUUAUUAGACAAUGAAACACAUUUAUACCUCUAUUUCAUAAAAGUCUGCAGUUUGUAAACUCGUGCUCCUGAUUUUUGUUUCUACACAUAGAGAAAGCAGGGCCUUGGCAGGUUGGAUCAGGCAGCCGAGCACAGAGCAGGGAGCCCUGGGCAGUGGCCCCAGCUCUCAGCUGGCCUGUUCAUGGGGCCAUGGUAGGUCUGCAGCGUGGGGUGGGCCUGCAGCGUGGGGUGAGCCUGCAGCGUGGGGUGGGCCUACAGCGUGGAGUGGGCCUGCCGUCCACAGCCAGAAAAAUGAACUUAGUGGACACAAGUGCUGGGAUUACAAGCAUGAGCCACUGCACCCGGCCAUUAUUACAAUUAAUUUCAUGUGGUUGUUUUUUUUUUUUUUUUUUUUUUUUUGAGACGGAGUCUCGCUGUGUUGCCCAGGCUGGAGUGCAGUGGCCGGAUCUCAGCUCACUGCAAGCUCCGCCUCCCGGGUUCACGCCAUUCUCCUGCCUCAGCCUCCCGAAUAGCUGAGACUACAGGCACCCGCCACCUUGCCUGGCUAGUUUUUUUUUUUUUUUUUUUUUUGUAUUUUUUAGUAGAGACGGGGUUUCACCGUAUUAACCAGGAUGGUCUCGAUCUCCUGACCUCGUGAUCCGCCCGUCUCGGCCUCCCAAAGUGCUGGGAUUACAGGCUUGAGCCACCGCGCCCAGCCCUCAUGUGGUUUUUUGUUUGGUUUGUUUUGCUUUUUUCCCCUGAGAUGGAGCCUCACUCUGUUGCCCGGACUGGAGUGCAGUGGCGGGAUCUCAGCUCACUGCAGGCUCUGCCUCCUGGGUUCAAAUGAUUCUCCUGCCUCAACCUCCUGAGUGGCUGGGACUAAAGAUGCGUGCCACCAUACCUGGCUAAUUUUUGUACUUUUAGUAGAGAUGGGGUUUCACCAUGUUGGCUGGGGUGGUCUUGAACUCCCAACCUCAGUUAAUCUGCCCGCCUCGGCUUCCCAAAGUGUUGGGAUUACAGGUGUGAGCCACCGCACCUGGCCAUGUUUAUUAAGACAGCUAAGAACAUGUUGAAUUGCACCUGUGGCUGCACUGGUGUCCUGGGCAGGUGGCUCUGUGCUGUCCACACAGGUUGUCUCCUGUGUCUUCAUCUUCGCUGCGUGUGACUUUUUGGUUCUUUUGGCACGUGGGGUCCCGUAUGGGACAUUCGUUCUACAGUUGAUUUAUAAUAAGGAUGUACCUACUAAAAAAAUAGAAUAGAAACAAACAUAGUUAUCACCUCACCAAAAUUUUGGAAAGUAGAAAAAGAAAAAUGCAUUCACAGCUUUUCAGUAGCCGAUAGUCCAGACCGUUUCAUAAGCGUGGAUAAUGUGUCCGUCUCCCACACCGAUAGACCCUGUUUUCUCACCUUAAGUGUUUGUGAUCGAAGGAUUCUUGAUGUGUUGACUUGGCGGAUGCGGUUCUUGAACAGUAGUUUAUCUAAAGAUUGUAAGAGACUUUUGGGUACAUUUCAUGUCCUUUUUUCCCUUGGAAGACCUGGGUUGAAGAAAUUGCUGCUUGCUAAAAAUAAGCCGUGAAACGGAUUUCAGAGUAACUCUUUAGUUACAUGCUGGCCAGGAGCCACAGAACACCAUUUCCAUUUGAAAAUAGAGCGCCGUGAAGUUUUUGUAAGUAGUAAACCCCAUCAGAAUUACACGUUUUGAUUAUGGCUCUAAAUUUUAUAUGAACGAAAUAAAUUAAAAAUGUCACUGUAUUGUAUUACCGUCUCUUGCUCCUUCAGGUGUAGCUUCCAUGCUAGAUUCUAGACCUGUUUCUUGUGUUACAGUGGGGUUAUCCAGGCAGGUUAUCAGGUAGUGAGGCUGAAAGGUGAUGUCGAAUGGUGUGGUGAGCCCAGUGGGGGCGCAUCCUUGUGUGUGUGAUGAGGGCCUGUGGGUUGCUGUGGGAUUCCCAAACCCUGGCUCCUCUGUCUCCUGCUUCUGUCCUUACUCACACUGCUGGUAGUUUUCUGGUGUAAGCCACAGGGCAAGUGGGAUUGACAAGCCUGCUGUCACAUUAGGAACCUGAGUUAAAGGGGAGCUGAAAGCAUGUCUUCCUUCACCCUUGAUGUUGUGCAGAGAGCCACUUGUGCGCCUGGCUCAAAGGGGCGGGUCUGGAACCAGGCCCCGGUUUGGCUCUCCUCCCCUCCAUGUUGCCCUGUCCUGUCUGAUUUGCUUUCACACUGACAUGAGUUACUUUCCUCGGCCUCCCAAAGUGCUGGGAUUACAGGCAUGAGCUGCCACGCCCGGCCAGCAGCCUUUCAAGUACUGGGGUCCACCCAAGCUCCCAGCUUCCAGCUAGGAGUCAUUUGGUCCCUUUAUCCCAAAGGACCUGCCACCAUCUUUGGUUUCCAAAGCCCAGCAGGGUCCAGGCUCUUCAGUCUCCAACCACUUUGCAUUUCUUUUCUGCUUUUCAUUCAUGGAGAUAAUGAUUAACUUAUUUUUCAGCCUGGGCAUGUCUUUUUUAUUUACUUUAUUUUUUAUUUUUAUUUUUUGAGAUGGAGUCUCACUCUGUCACCCAGGCUGGAAUGCGAUGGCGGGAUCUCGGUUCACUGCAACCUCCAGCUGCCGGGUUCAAGUGAUUCUCCUGCCUCAGCCUCCUGAGUAGCUGGGACUACAGGUGUACACCACUAUGCCCAGCUAAUUUUUACAUUUUUAGUAGAGACAGGAUGUUGCAAUAUUGGCCAGGCUGUUCUCCUGGCCUCAAGUGAUCCUCCUUCCUCGGCUUCCCAAAGUACUGGGAUUACAGGCGUGACCACCACGCCCGGCCUUUAUAUACUUUAUAUAUCUCCCCUACUACUGCCGCAGUCUGCAGAAGAGAGGAUGCCCUCAACCCUAACUUCUCCAAACCAUCCCAAAGGGGACGUCUGCUCCACGUCAACAGUGUUGUUGUUUUUAAAGACCAUCUGUCUGUCUAGAUGCCAGAUUAUAGCAAAAGGAUGUCGAGGGAGGGAUAUGAAAGCAAGCCUGAGAGUCCUGGAGAGAAGGUGGCAGAGCUGCCUUCGGAGGUGGUCACUCCCUCAGACCCUGCCCUUCCUGCCUU